GUUAAUAAUUAUAUAUAUCUAACUCUGGACUGUGAAUACAAUUACUUGUACUUAUUGUUUCAUUUUGUGUGAAAAUAAGCAACAUUGUUCAUACAUUUGAAUGUGUGUCAAUAUGGUGAAUAUGUUGAGAUAAUGAAUGAAAGACACAUUUUUAAGAUAUCGUCGAGUGACCAGAAAUGACGCUGCCCUAUUUUGACACCAUGCUCGUUUUGUUUGUUUUGUGAAAAAAUAGCUGAGUCAAAGGUUCCACAAACGUAGUACAAGUGCUAUUGACCUACUUCCAUGAAAACAGCUUAUGAAAAAUUGUUGCUUACAGGGGCCCUAUUUAAACCACUGCCAGAGAGUAUGGCAUCCCAGAAGCCUCUCUGCGACACCGGUAGAAUGGGAGAGUCACUCCGGAGGCAACGCAUUGUGGAUCACCACCUACAUUCUCUUAGGAGGAAGAGGUACACUUUACAGACCAUCUUAAAUUAAUGGCAAGCCGUGGUUAUGGUUACAGCCGGUCAGAAAUUGUUGAUAUGAUUAGCAACAAUGCAAUAUUUCUUGGAACACAGGACAAGGAGCAUCCGCUCACGCUGAUGUGGUUCAGGGUGUUUAUACAACGCUGGCCCGAGCUGAAAUUGUUGACGCCUCGUGGGCUUGAGAUUAACAUGCCAAAGCCACCAGCACGGAAUCUGUGUCAACAUAUAACAUUGAACUGGGCUAAAUCAUUGACAGGUUCGAUCGAAAGCAAUAGGCCAGAACGGAUAAACAAUGUUGACGAGAAAGUUUUGUCCAAUAUCCAUAAACCGCCUUUGCAAGCUGCGAAUCUCAGCCACAUCAGCUUCAAGAACCCUUGUCACAAUCAUUGGUUGCGGAAAUGCCAUAGACUUCAACCAGAACAAAUCCAAUCACUAAAACUAUGGGUAAGACACACUCAUAAGCCAAGGUGCUGGAAGAUGCAGUUCUUAAGACAUCGGUAGAUGACUCGUAUAUUCCAAAGAAAACAAUCAAAGUCUUUUACGCUACAUUCAUGAAGCGUCAUCCAGACGGGAAAAUGACAGAAACUGAUUUCCAAAGAACGUUCACAAAAUGUGUACGUUCUGGUAAUCCGGACACAUUCCGCACAUUUGCAUUUUGUUCACGCAAUGAAAUCGGCUUUAAAGAGUUUGUGUUGGCUGUCAAAAUGUCAUCAUUGGGAAACGAUAACAAAAAUAGAUCGACCAUAAAACAAACUUUUAUUGAAGUUAUUGUAUGUAUGCCGGAGAAUUAUUAUGAAAUAUUUUGUAGCGGUGUACAACAACUUGUCGAAAGAAAGAUACUUACAGAGCAGUGGGUCAUUGAUUUGAAAGAGGCUAGACAAAAAAGCGAAGGUAGUGUCGAUUGUUCAAUAGAUGUACUUGGAUUCCUUAAAAAGGAGAUAUUUGACAUUGUGUGGAACUAUUUGGCAGGUAAAAUAUCGAUCGAGACGUGUUUCAGCACUGUAUUUGACAAAAUCGGGGAAGCUUCAGGUUUUGCAGGUCAACAUGUCGGAAGUAUGGUAGGUACUUUAAUUGCGAUGAAAUUCAACAUAGGAGUUAAAGUAGCAGCUAUUGUCGGUGCAGUGGCUGGAAAAAUAUCUGCACAGAUACUUACUGACUUCAUUAAGAACUGGAUGUCACGGCUGAUGAAUAAAGACAUCGAAAAUGCGUAUGCUUUGUUUGGCACUGAUGCGAGCGCUUCUGAUAAGAAAAUUGAAUCUUGCUAUAAAAAACGCGCACGCAAAUAUCAUCCUUACAAAUGCGGAGACAUCGUCAAAUGGAUUCAGCUUAAGCACGCAAAGGCACUGAUCGAUGAUGCACGAGGUAAAAAAGCGAAGAAAAGUGGCUGAUUCGUUCACAUAAGUAAUGUUGCUCUUUUAUGACACGUGCUUGGAAAGAAAAUACUGAUUGUUAACAUAUAUCUUGGUAAUUCAGAUAACAACACAAUAGUCCUUAUUUUAAAUAGGCAACUACACCAGUCAGUAGAUAUAUACACAAAUAUGUGACAAAAAUUAUCUAUCAUCUGGUAUCAAACGAUCGCAUUAAAGAUAUGUAUCUCCUCUCAGCUAACCAAUGUGCGAAUUGGUAAAGACAGUACACUGAUAUUUUUGAAUGCAUCGAUAACGGUAAUAACAACCGAAAUUAUAGCUGACAACCCAUGCCUUGAUUUCUGCGUUUGAUACCGUUGAUGUUCAAAUACUGAUCAAAAGAUGACUUGGGUACCCGUAACACUUCUUUCAACAACAUAUGAAAAUGAAAGUCCAACCGGCCUCAUCUUUAGUAAAACUCGAGGAUUCAUGCACUUGACUGUUCAUGUUUAUAGUGUAGAUAUAAGCUCUCAACAUAGUGCUGAGAAAUAGCAAGCCGAUUUCUACGGAUAUACGGACACCAAAAAUAUGUCUUUCACAAUUAAAACGAUGGAAAUUAUCAGGAUGAAAUGCCUUUUCAAUAACGAAUUGACAGUGACCUCUAUGAAAUCAUCAAAUUGAUGAAAACAUUCAAAAUGAAAGUAAGCCAGUAUAGUGGUCUUAGGAUUAACCCAGCUAUAUAAGAACUUUCUGUCAAUUUCUCGAUUGAGAUCAAAUUGAAAAUACGUUUGUAUGACAGUUGCAUGGGUAAUAUGUUACACUGUUUGAAUACAAUAUUUAUAUCGUGUAUUGUGAUAAAAACAUUUUUCGUAUAGUUUUCAUUUCUGAAUCGAAUCUGGAUUAUCAAAUAAUUUGAAAACAUUCGUUGUAUAUCCACGUGUACAGUAGCCUAAUGACUUGUUAACCUUUCUUAAUUAGUUCGAAAUGUAUAUGUUAAAUAACUAUUAACACUAUAGCUUGUUGUUGCAGUUAUAUGUUUGUGCUAUAUAAUGGUAUGUAUCUGUAAUUGCGUGCAGCGAAUGCAGCGUAUUUGGUCGUAUGUUUUCGAGAUAUUGCGAUUAUAGUAUAUUUUUCUUGUUUAUUAAGUCUAGAGAAAUCAGUAGAUUAGCAUGGCGCUUUAAAUAUAUAACAUAUUCGGAUAUUGUGCGCCCAUUAACUUCCAACUGAUGCUCCUAAUCUUUCCGACACAUCAUAAUUUGAAACAUGUUGUAAGUGUACAUAGAUUGUUUAUAUUAUUUCGCACGCUGUAAAUAAACCUUAUUCGAAACUCUACUAAUCGCUAU